CUACCCACGCUUUCGCGCCUCAGCGUCAGAUGAUGCCCAGUUUGCUGCCUUCGCCAUGGGUGUUCCUCCUGAUAUCAACGCAUUUCACCGCUACACCAGGAAUUCCACAAACCUCUGCAUCCCUCUAGUCUCACAGUAUGCAAAGCAGUUUCCGGGUUGAGCCCUGGAGAUUUCACUUCACACUUACAAGACCGCCUACGCGCUCUUUACGCCCAGUAAAUCCGGACAACGCUUGCACCCUACGUCUUACCGCGGCUGCUGGCACGUAGUUAGCCGGGGCUUAUUCGCCGAGUACCGUCACUAUCUUCCUCGGCAAAAGGAGUUUACGACCCGAGGGCCUUCGUCCUCCACGCGGCGUUGCUGCGUCAGACUUUCGUCCAUUGCGCAAAAUUCCUAACUGCUGCCUCCCGUAGGAGUCUGGGCCGUGUCGCAGUCCCAGUCUGGCUGAUCAUCCUCUCAGACCAGCUACCGAUCAUCGCCUUGGUAGGCCUUUACCCCACCAACUAGCUAAUCGGCCGCAAGCCCAUCCUCAAGCGCAUUGCUGCUUUACUCACGAGAGCGAACUCGCGAGCAUAUGCGGUAUUAGCCACUCUUUCGAGCAGUUAUUCCCCACUUGGAGGGUAGGUCACUUACGUGUUACUCAGCCGUCCGCCACUGACCCCCGAAGGGGCCCGUUCGACUUGCAUGUUUUAUGCACGCCGCCAGCGUUUAUCCUGAGCCAGGAUCAAACUCU
rnacentral:rRNA from 1 species